UACGAAGGGUGCAAGCGUUACUCGGAAUUACUGGGCGUAAAGCGUGCGUAGGUGGUUUGUUAAGUCUGUUGUGAAAGCCCCGGGCUCAACCUGGGAAUGGCAAUGGAUACUGGCAAGCUAGAGUGCGGUAGAGGGUAGUGGAAUUCCCGGUGUAGCGGCGAAAUGCGUAGAGAUCGGGAGGAACACCAGUGGCGAAGGCGGCUACCUGGACCAGCACUGACACUGAGGCACGAAAGCGUGGGGAGCAAACAGG
rnacentral:rRNA from 1 species